GCGCGCAGCUGUCACUUAGAUGAGCCGCGGCGCAUUAGCUAGUUGGUGGGGUAAAGGCCUACCAAGGCAAUGAUGCGUAGCCGAGUUGAGAGACUGAUCGGCCACAUUGGGACUGAGACACGGCCCAAACUCCUACGGGAGGCAGCAGUAGGGAAUCUUCCACAAUGGACGCAAGUCUGAUGGAGCAACGCCGCGUGAGUGAAGAAGGUCUUCGGAUCGUAAAGCUCUGUUGUUGGUAGAAGAAGGAUAGAGGCAGUACUGGUCUUUAUUGACGUAAUCAACCAGAAACGUCACGGCUAACUACGUGCCAGCAGCCGUAGGUAAUCGGUAGGUGGACAAGUCGUUGUCCGGUAUUUAGUUGGGACUAAGG
rnacentral:rRNA from 1 species